rnacentral:rRNA from 1 species
CAGUAGCCACGGGAAUACGAAGGGUGCAAGCGUUACUCGGAAUUACUGGGCGUAAAGCGUGCGUAGGUGGUGGUUUAAGUCCGUUGUGAAAGCCCUGGGCUCAACCUGGGAAUUACAGUGGAUACUGGGUCACUAGAGUGUGGUAGAGGAUAGUGGAAUUUCCGGUGUAGCAGUGAAAUGCGUAGAGAUCGGAAGGAACAUCUGUGGCGAAGGCGACUAUCUGGGCCAACACUGACACUGAGGCACGAAAGCGUGGGGAGCAAACAGGAUUAGAUACCCCGGUAGUCCCUGUCUCUUAUAC